rnacentral:miRNA from 1 species
GGCCUCCAGUGUUCGCACAAAGCUCAAUAAGUUUAUAUAUAUAUUAUUGGCCCGAGUGCGAGCCCUGGGACC